AUGAACCCUAUCUGCCGCCGCCGCUCCGCCUUGCCGCCGCCGGCGAAGACGACCCCGACGGACGAUGAAAACCUCCUCCCCGAGGUACUCAUCCGCCUCCCCGCGCAGCCUUCCUCCCUCCCCCGCGCCUCCCUCGUCUGCAAGCAGUGGCGCCACCUCAUCGCCGAUCCCCAAUUCCUGCGCCGCUUCUGCGCCCACCACCGGGAGCCCCCCAUCAUCGGCGUGUUCCUGGACUUCUACCGCGGAGACCUCUCCUUCAGGUCGGUCCUGGAUCGGCCGGACCUCAUCCUGCCCGAGCGCUUCUCCGUGCGGUUCGACGGCAUCGAAGGCGGCGGCGUCGAGGGAAACGACGGCAUCUGGUCCUUCCGUCGCUGCCGCCACGGCCGCGUGCUCUUCACCAGGGGGGACCACCUCGGCAAGGGCUGCCGCCAGGUCCUGGUGUGGGAUCCCGUCACAGGCGACCGCCGUUUCAUAGGCAGUCCGCCGAAGUUGGAUCACGACUGGAGCAAGUCACAUGUGCAAGCGGAUGUGCUCUGUGUUGCCGGCGACAAGGACCACGUGCACGGCAGCUGCCACUCGAGCCCCUUGAAGGUCGUCUUGGUGUGCGCCGACAAGCUCGUCGCGCGAGCAUGCGUCUACUCAUCGGAGACCAACUCAUGGGGCGAUCUCAUAUCGACCGAUGUUCCGUAUCACACUAUGUCUUGUGUUGGAAGUCGAAGCAUCCUGGUUGGCAAUUCACUUCACUGGUUUAUUUUUGGUACUCAGACUGGCAUCCUUGAGCUUGAUUUGGAUACGCAGACCCUAGCUGUUGUAGAGGUGCCGCCUGAUGCCCAUGCUAGUCAUCAUGGCCUCUACCUGAGUACGCUGGGUGGUGGGCUUGGCUUCAUCGUUGUGUCAGAUGACUUCGUAGCUCAACUAUGGGUGAGGACGACUGAUUUUGAUGGAGUUGCUGGAUGGAUGCCGGCACAAGCAAUUGAGUUGAACAAGCUUCUUCCGCUGAGACCAGGCGAAUGGACAAAUCUGCAAACAGUGUUGGGUGUUGCUGGAGAUGAGAAUGUGAUAUUUGUGUCAACAAAUGGAGGCGUCUUCAUGGUCCAUCUUGAGUCCUUGCAGUUUAAGAAGAUUUUUGAAAGCAAUCCUUUGGCCGAAUGUACGACAUCCACCGUCCACCCAUUCACAAGUUUUUUUACUGCAGGCAAUAAUAUGAAAGUACAAGGAUAA
rnacentral:rRNA from 1 species